rnacentral:lncRNA from 1 species
AGAUAUAUAAAGUAAUAUUGAAGAGAUUUGUAGAACAAGAUAGAUUUGUGUCUGAAAGACUUUAUUGAAACAUAAACUAGGAUUAGCUCAAAGGAGCUUUAUUGAAAAGUAAAGAACAAGAAAGGAACAAGCUUGAUGUUUGUCUUCAAGAACUAAAUGAACCUUUUGAUAUCAUAAAUAGAGUUUGAAGUAGGCUGCUUGAAACGCAACCAAAGUUGCAUUGCCAUAAUGAUACUAGACAUAUUUAUACCAAAUCUAACUUGCUAAAACCCUAAACACUUAGUCUAACAGGCUUGGUUGUUCUUCUUGGGCUUGGGCUCUUAUACUCCCCUGCAAACUUAGCGUGGAUGGAGCAGCAACGGAGCAGCAACGCAAAGUUUGAAAGCACAGAUGAAGAUGACUUGAAAUGACCAGUAGGAUGCUUUUGAUGUAGGCAAAGGGCUCUUGUUCUUCUGGAAAACAAACUAAGUGUGAGAUCUAUUCAGGCCUAUACUUGGAGAGUAUUACAUGGCUUCACUCAGAGGUUUCUCUUGAACUUGGAGAGCUUAGUUGAUCUCACUCAGAGGUAUAACUAUGGCAUAUUUGUCUCACUAUGAAUCUAGGUUUCCUUUACCCAUUUCAUUCUUCUAAUGUGUCUCAUGAAGAACUCUCUUUCCACACCUACCAAAUAAAACUAUACUCAAUCUCUGCUUCCCAUCAGUAUACUGCUAAAAAACUCUGCCUCUAAACAAUCUGACAGUGUCGUUGGCAUUUUACCGAGCAGCUUGCGUGCAUUAGCAUUAAAGCCAGAGACUUGCAUCCAAGACCACACGUAACAAACCCAAACAAGCCUUUCUCAAUCAACUUGUGUGUUCUAAAACCCAUCUUAACCAGAAUCUAAACCAGUACACGACAUAUAAUUUUCUCAUCCACUGUUCUGUCUCAAUUAAAGAAACAGAGAUAAUACCGUGUAGAAGUGGUGAGGAAGCUGAAUAAGUCUUCAUUCUUCUCUGACCAGUUUGAGACCUGUCUGAAACUUCAACUAGAAAAAGCCCGAUAAACCCCAUGAACCACCGUGGUCUCUGUCUCGAACUUCUCCCUCUUCAUAUGGGCAAGCGCUUGACUGGUUCUGUUUCUCAAUGACAGAGUCACAGCUGCAGCAGGUCUUUAGCAGGGCUUGGUGAAGAC